GAUGAACGCUAGCGGGAGGCUUAACACAUGCAAGUCGAGGGGCAGCACUAUGUAGCAAUAUUUUGGUGGCGACCGGCGCACGGGUGAGUAACACGUAUGUAACCUACCCUGUACAGGGGGAUAACCCGGAGAAAUUCGGACUAAUACCCCAUAAAGAUAUUAAGGGGCAUCUUUUAAUAUUUAAAGUUCCGGCGGUACGGGAUGGGCAUGCGCAACAUUAGCUAGUUGGCAGGGUAACGCCUACCAAGGCUACGAUGUUUAGGGGACCUGAGAGGGUGAUCCCCCACACUGGUACUGAGACACGGACCAGACUCCUACGGGAGGCUG
rnacentral:rRNA from 1 species